AUUGAACGCUGGCGGCAGGCCUAACACAUGCAAGUCGAGCGGAUGAGGGGUGCUUGCUCCUUGAUUCAGCGGCGGACGGGUGAGUAAUGCCUAGGAAUCUGCCUGGUAGUGGGGGACAACGUUUCGAAAGGAACGCUAAUACCGCAUACGUCCUACGGGAGAAAGCAGGGGACCUUCGGGCCUUGCGCUAUCAGAUGAGCCUAGGUCGGAUUAGCUAGUUGGUGAGGUAAUGGCUCACCAAGGCGACGAUCCGUAACUGGUCUGAGAGGAUGAUCAGUCACACUGGAACUGAGACACGGUCCAGACUCCUACGGGAGGCAGCAGUGGGGAAUAUUGGACAAUGGGCGAAAGCCUGAUCCAGCCAUGCCGCGUGUGUGAAGAAGGUCUUCGGAUUGUAAAGCACUUUAAUGGGGGAAGAAGGCCUUUUAGUUAAUACCUAAGAGGAUUGACACUACCCCAAGAACAAGCACCGGCUAACUCUGUGCCAGCCGCCGCUGUAAUAC
rnacentral:rRNA from 1 species